AGCCAGUAGAUAGACAUCGGCGUAAGUGUGGUUAGGGCAUUACUAACUAAAGCCGAAUAUCUCCAAGGCUGUUAUACGCACCCGGAGGAACGAAGACCCUUAGCGAAAGUAGCUUUAUUGUUUAGCCUGAACCCACGACAGCUAUAAAACAAACUGGGAUUAGAUACCCCACUAUGCUUAGCCGUAAAAUUUGACAGUAGGAUACAACUGCUGUCCGCCAGGGGACUACAAGCGCCAGCUUAAAACCCAAAGGACUUGGCGGUGCCUCAGACCCACCUAGAGGAGCCUGUUCUAGAACCGAUAAUCCCCGUUAAACCUCACCUCCUCUUGUUAUCCCCGCCUAUAUACCGCCGUCGUCAGCAUACCCUGUGAAGGAAAUAUAGUAUGCAAAAUGGGUAAACCCCAAAACGUCAGGUCGAGGUGUAGCGUAUGGAGAGGGAAGAAAUGGGCUACAUUCUCUAGUUUAGAGUACUACGGAG
rnacentral:rRNA from 1 species